AAUGGGGGCAACCCUGAUCCAGCCAUGCCGCGUGAGUGAAGAAGGCCUUCGGGUUGUAAAGCUCUUUUGGCGGGGACGAUGAUGACGGUACCCGCAGAAUAAGCCCCGGCUAACUUCGUGCCAGCAGCCGCGGUAAGACGAAGGGGGCUAGCGUUGUUCGGAAUUACUGGGCGUAAAGGGCGCGUAGGCGGUUUGUUAAGUCAGGCGUGAAAGCCCUGGGCUCAACCUGGGAGGUGCGCUUGAUACUGGCAAGCUUGAGUGCAGGAGAGGAUGGUGGAAUUCCCAGUGUAGAGGUGAAAUUCGUAGAUAUUGGGAAGAACACCGGUGGCGAAGGCGGCCAUCUGGACUGCAACUGACGCUGAGGCGCGAAAGCGUGGGGAGCAAA
rnacentral:rRNA from 1 species